AAAAUUCAUAUCUCUUUCAUUUUUAAUCCAAAAAUUAUGGGACCAAUUGCAUUAGUCUCCAAAUAAUUUCUAGUUUCUACUUCUAAUUUUUAAUAUUUUUUAUUUUGUCAUUUAAUAUUUUUUUGUGAAUUUUCUCUUUUCUGGUUAUUUUUAAUUCAUUUUAAUUAGUUUUUGAUAUUCAAAAAAUACAAAAAUAUUUUCCUA
rnacentral:lncRNA from 1 species